rnacentral:rRNA from 1 species
GAUGAACGCUAGCGGCAGGCUUAAUACAUGCAAGUCGUGGGGCAGCGGGGUAGCAAUACCGCCGGCGACCGGCAAACGGGUGCGGAACACGUACACAACCUUCCUAUAAGUGGGGAAUAGCCCAGAGAAAUUUGGAUUAAUACCCCGUAACAUAAUGAUGUGGCAUCACAUUAUUAUUAUAGCUAUGGCGCUUAUUGAUGGGUGUGCGGCUGAUUAGAUAGUUGGCGGGGUAACGGCCCACCAAGUCUACGCUCAGUAGCUGAUGUGAGAGCCUGAUCAGCCACACGGGCACUGAGACACGGGCCCGACUCCUACGGGAGACAGCAGAAAGGAAUAUUGGUCAAUGGACGCUAGUCUGAACCAGCCAUGCCGCGUGAAGGAUUAAGGUCUUCUGGAUUGUAAACUUCUUUUAUCUGGGACGAAAAAAGGCGAUUCUUCGUCACUUGACGGUACCAGAUGAAUAAGCACCGGCUAACUCCGUGCCAGCCGCCGCCGUAAUAC